rnacentral:rRNA from 1 species
GGGUGCGACAAUACCAGCACCAACACACUGGAUCCCAUCAGAACUCCGAAGUUUAGCAUGCUUGAAUGAGAGUAGUGCUAGGAUGGGUGACCCCCAGGGAAGUCCUCGUGUUGCACCCC